rnacentral:rRNA from 1 species
UACGUAGGUGGCAAGCGUUGUCCGGAUUUAUUGGGCGUAAAGAGCGUGUAGGCGGCCAUACAGGUCCGUUGUGAAAACUGGAGGCUUAACCUCCAGACGUCGAUGGAAACCGUAUGGCUAGAGUCCGGAAGAGGAGAGUGGAAUUCCUGGUGUAGCGGUGAAAUGCGCAGAUAUCAGGAGGAACACCAAUGGCGAAGGCAGCUCGCUGGGACGUGACUGACGCUGAGACGCGAAAGCGUGGGGAGCAAACAGG